rnacentral:rRNA from 1 species
UACGAAGGGUGCUAGCGUUGUUCGGAAUCACUGGGCGUAAAGCGUGCGUAGGCGGCUUAGCAAGUCUGAUGUGAAAGCCCAGGGCUUAACCCUGGAACUGCAUUGGAAACUGCUUUGCUGGAGUUCGGAAGGGGUAAGUGGAAUUCCUAGUGUAGAGGUGAAAUUCGUAGAUAUUAGGAGGAACACCAGUGGCGAAGGCGACUUACUGGUCCGAUACUGACGCUGAGGCACGAAAGCGUGGGGAGCAAACAGG